rnacentral:rRNA from 1 species
CCUACGGGUGGCAGCAGUCGAGAAUCAUUCACAAUGGGGGAAACCCUGAUGGUGCGACGCCGCGUGGGGGAAUGAAGGUCUUCGGAUUGUAAACCCCUGUCAUGUGGGAGCAAAUUAAAAAGAUAGUACCACAAGAGGAAGAGACGGCUAACUCUGUGCCAGCAGCCGCGGUAAUACAGAGGUCUCAAGCGUUGUUCGGAAUCACUGGGCGUAAAGCGUGCGUAGGCUGUUUCGUAAGUCGUGUGUGAAAGGCGCGGGCUCAACCCGCGGACGGCACAUGAUACUGCGAGACUAGAGUAAGGGAGGGGGAACCGGAAUUCUCGGUGUAGCAGUGAAAUGCGUAGAUAUCGAGAGGAACACUCGUGGCGAAGGCGGGUUCCUGGACACUAACUGACGCUGAGGCACGAAGGCCAGGGGAGCGAAAGGGAUUAGAUACCCUAGUAGUC